CUGAGGAAGCCCCUUCCAUUCCGUUUAUUGAGGGUUUUUGUAAUGAAGGAGUUUUGAGAUUUUGCCAAGUGCUUUGCCCGCAUCAGUUGACCCUGUGGUUUCUUCCCUUUGUUUUGUUCAGGUAUGAAGCCCGUCGUACUGAUCGAUUUUCACCUGUGGAACCACGCUUUCAUUCAUGGGCCAGGUCUCACUCGGCCAUGACGUACAGUUGUUCUGAGAUGUGCUGGGUUCAGUCUGCUACGAUUUGAGCGGAGACAGACACCCAGACCUUACCUCCCAAGGAGGAGAUGAACAGCUGUGAAUCAGGCCUCCUCCAUCACAUGUCAACGCACACAGUGACAAGCCUGGGACAGAGUUAGGGCUGGGCAGGAAGGCGCCCCAGGAGGCCGGGGGCAGAGUGGACAGCUGCGGGAUGAGGAGGAGGUGAGCCAGAAGAAAAGAGCUCCAGAGACUUCUGGGUGGUAGACACAGUCCAGGCCUGACUCCCCGACCCUGGUUCCCAGCAUCGACCAGGUUCAUGAAGGCCAACAGCCUCGCUGUUCCGGCCACACCAAAUUCAAGAAUGGACUGUUCCUCAGGGUCAAGUCUGC
rnacentral:lncRNA from 1 species